GAUCCUGCCGGACCCUACUGCUAUCGGGAUGAGACUAAGCCAUGCGAGUCGAGCGCUCUCUAGCCAUGUUGAGAGCGUGGCGAACGGCUCAGUAACACGUAGAUAACCUACCCUUAGGAUGAGGACAACCCCGGGAAACUGGGACUAAUACUCAAUAGGCGGAGGGAUCUGGGAUGACCCCCCACCGAAAGGGUGCUAGGAACAUGCUCUUAGCGUUGCCUAAGGAUGGGUCUGCGUCUGAUCAGGUUGUUGGUGGGGUAAUGGCCCACCAAGCCUACAACCAGUACGGGCCCUGAGAGGGGGAGCCCGGAGAUGGGAACUGAGACAAGGUCCCAGGUCCUACGGGGCGCAGCAGGCGCGAAAACUCCACAAUGCACAAAUGUGUGAUGGGGUCAUCCCGAGUGCCGUCCGUUGAGGAUGGCUUUUACUCAGUGUAAGGAACUGGGAGAAUAAAGGGGGGGCAAGUCUGGUGUCAGCCGCCGCGGUAAUACCAGCCCCCUGAGUGGUAGGGACGAUUAUUUGGCCUAAAGCGUCCGUAGCCGGCCUAGUAAGUCUUUAGUUAAAUCUGACGAUUCAAUCGUUAGACCGCGGAAGAUACUGCCAGGCUAGAGGAUGGGAGAGGUCGACGGUAGUCCUGGUGUAGGGGUGAAAUCCUAUAAUCCCAGGAGGACCACCAGUGGCGAAGGCGGUCGACUAGAACAUGCCUGACGGUGAUGGACGAAAGCUGGGGGAGCGAACCGGAUUAGACACCCGGGUAGUCCCAGCUGUAAACGAUGCGGGCUAGGUGUUGGAACAGCCAUGAGCUGCUCCAGUGCCGCAGAAAAGUUGUUAAGCCCGCCGCCUGGGAAGUACGGCCGCAAGGCUGAAACUUAAAGGAAUUGGCGGGGGAGCACCACAAGGGGUGAAGGCUGCGGUUCAAUUGGAGUCAACGCCGGG
rnacentral:rRNA from 1 species